rnacentral:rRNA from 1 species
UGAGGAAUAUUGGUCAAUGGACGCAAGUCUGAACCAGCCAAGUAGCGUGCAGGAUGACGGCCCUAUGGGUUGUAAACUGCUUUUAUAUGGGGAUAAAGUGGGGAACGUGUUCCCUUUUGCAGGUACCAUAUGAAUAAGGACCGGCUAAUUCCGUGCCAGCAGCCGCGGUAAUACGGAAGGUUCGGGCGUUAUCCGGAUUUAUUGGGUUUAAAGGGAGCGUAGGCCGUUUGGUAAGCGUGUUGUGAAAUGUAGGAGCUCAACUUCUAGAUUGCAGCGCGAACUGUCAGACUUGAGUGCGCACAACGUAGGCGGAAUUCAUGGUGUAGCGGUGAAAUGCGUAGAUAUAUGGGGGAACACCGGUGGCGAAAGCGGCUCUCUGGUCUGUAACUGACGCUGAGGCUCGAAAGCGUGGGGAGCGAACAGG